UCCCGUGCCCUAGCUCCCUCAUCGCCGACCCCUCUUCCCCGAGCCCUCCCGCGACUUCCCUUCUCACGAUCUCCUCACCAAAAACCGCCGACUUCACCCUUCCCUCUUCUCCUCGCGAGUUCCCACACCAUAGCAGCCGACGCCUUCUCCCCUCCUCUGUGCCAAGCUUCUUCUUCUCCUUGCAAUUGGCUACUCAUCUUCUCUCCUUGGUGACGCCGGCGCAGAUCGGGCCUCUUCCUUUCUUCUGGCUUCUACAAGCGGCGGCGUCUUGCCUUCUUCCACCGUCGUCCACCAGAUCUCGGAAGGAUCCCUAGUUGUUUGGCGCCAUUGGGUCGAGCCGGUGCCACCCAAUCGCCAGAAUGAGAAGGUGCUCAGGGAUCCGAGAGCAGUGGUGAUAUGGGUUGUGAUUGAGAGGGGAGGGCUUGGUUCUUAAUCCUGUGCCCUAUUCUGGUUCAAUCCUGCUGUGAGCAUCACUGGCGGUUGGAGAGAACUAGAAAGGUGUAUCCAGCAACGACAGCUUCUCCUUCCGGUGGCACCCUCCCUGGCUGUGAGCUUUCGAUUUGCUGCUAUAUCCUAAGUAGCAGGUAGAUGAAUCAAGGAUGCUUGGGAGAGUCCUAGCUAUCGAUCCUACGUCACAUCCGAAGACUGCAUCGGGUUUCGUUUAUUCUUUACUCAUAUUUUGUACUUGGUGCUAUAUUAAUUCGAUUAUCUUUUGGAGUUUAUUAUGUGGAGUUGAAUUUUGUGUGGUUGUGGUUGUUGUAUAAAACCUAGCCGGCUAGCAGUGUGUUGUUUUAGUUCGUUUGGAUUUUCUUUAUCA